rnacentral:rRNA from 1 species
UACAGAGGUCUCAAGCGUUGUUCGGAUUCAUUGGGCGUAAAGGGUGCGUAGGCCGCACGGUAAGUCAGAGGUGAAAUCCCGGAGCUCAACUUCGGAAUUGCCUCCGAUAUUGCCGUGCUUGAGGACUGGAGAGGAGAUUGGAAUUCACAGUGGAGCAGUGAAAUGCGUAGAUAUUGUGAGGAACACUAGUGGCGAAGGCGAAUCUCUGGACAGUUCCUGACGCUGAGGCACGAAGGCCAGGGGAGCAAACGGG